GUCUUCUUGUUAUAUUUAGGAAGUCUGGCCUGCCCAGUGAAAAUAAUUUAACGGCCGCGGUAUACUGACCGUGCAAAGGUAGCAUAAUCAUUAGUCUUUUAAUAGAGGGCUGGUAUGAAGGGUUUAACGAGGUGUUGACUGUCUCAUUUAAUUUGAAUUUAGAAUUUAAUUUUUUAGUUAAAAAGCUGAAAUAUUAUUGGAAGACGAGAAGACCCUAUAGAGCUUUAUAUUUUUAUUAUUAAUUUAUUUUAGUUUAUUAUUAUUUAUUAUUAAUAGAAAAUAUUUUGUUGGGGUGACAAAAAUAUAUAAAUAACUUUUUCAUUUAUUUUACAUUGAUAUAUGAAUAUUAGAUCCAAUCUUAUUGAUUGAUAGAUUAAGUUACCUUAGGGAUAACAGCGUAAUCCCUCUCCAGAGUUCAUAUUUACAGAGGGGCUUGCGACCUCGAUGUUGGAUUAAGAUAAUAAUUAGGUGCAGCCGCUUAAUUAAUAGGUCUGUUCGACCUUUAAAUUCUU
rnacentral:rRNA from 1 species